UACGGGGGGGGCAAGCGUUGUUCGGAAUUACUGGGCGUAAAGGGCUCGUAGGCGGCCAACUAAGUCGGAUGUGAAAUCCCCAGGCUCAACCUGGGAACUGCAUCCGAUACUGGAUGGCUUGAAUUCGGGAGAGGGAUGCAGAAUUCCAGGUGUAGCGGUGAAAUGCGUAGAUAUUAGGAAGAACACCAGUGGCGAAGGCGGCUCACUGGCCCGGUACUGACGCUGAGGCGCGAAAGCGUGGGGAGCAAACAGG
rnacentral:rRNA from 1 species